CCGAACCCAGAGAGUCGCUACAACGCUUCCGUCAGUACCGCGGACUCCAUACCGGAAUACUGACUCGGACGGUAUGUAUGACGGGUUUUGGUGCUGGGGGGGGGGGUUGGUUCGGCAGGGUGCGGGGCCCAGGUGCGGGCACGCGGGGGGAAGUCCGCGCGCGCCCUCGCAAUUUCACAGGGCGUUGGCCCGGCUAUUAUUUAAAUAAUUACGUAUGUAUUUAGAAGCUGCGUGGGCGAAAAUGAGCGAGUUUGCGUCCCUUGGAUCCCAUUUCCCCAGACUCCAAUUCCCCGAUGAGGUGCUGGGCCCCGACCCCGACCCCGACCCGGACCCCGACCCCGACCCCGACUCCUCUCGUGCUCGGCAUUUUAACACUGUACAUUGCGUCCCCUGUCACUUGACUCCCUUAGGGGCACGCUCCAUGGAUCGCAUGGCGGUCCGCUAGUGCAGGCCUGCGGUGGCACCAAGUUGACAACCACUUCACCCCAGCGAGCUCCAGCUUGCGCCAACCAUACAACGGCAGUUGCUAUAUGUAUACAAUUGAUAGCCAGGCCAAACGGCUGCGUGGCUGGACUGCUGCACUCACUCACGUGGCCCCUGGUAGCAGGGUGGCUAAAGGGGGGUUUAAGGGGUUUUGCAGGGUUUGAAAAGUUUGACAUGUCAGAAAUCAUUUGCACAGUAUAAGUCAGCUAAUAGUAACUAGAAUGAUUGUUUGAACCCCUUGUGGGUGACCGUGAUGAGAUUUGGGCACAUAGCAAUGACUUUGCAUGUCCCACUGCUUCCUCACCGUCUCCCUGGAUACGGCAUGUGACUUUCAUGGCCCUGGAUACUUGCACCACUGAGGCUUCUCAUUCGCCCAAGUUAUAAUGAAUACUGCAUUGUGCUAUCUCUCUGGGUUCGGAUCCCAUUGUUGCAACGUGGAAACUUCACGAUGGCCGAAUUCGGAGAGUUGGUAGGCCGAUAGGUCCAGAACUUCGGUUCCUAUGGACUGAGUGAAGGUGGAUGCGUGGGGUGCCUCUUGCCAAGGUCCCACAGAGAUACGGUAGGGUUAGCCUCGAUGGGACUCUUCCUUAAGGCACGCGGGACCUUGGUCCGUGCGUAGGUAUUAUUAUUAUUAUUAUUCAUUGUGCUAUGGUGCAGGCUGACAGAUUGCACAUGCACGCUGUGCAUGCACAUGCUGCUCAUUCCCCUUGUCCCCACACUGGGGGCUGAGCUGCCCAACCCAGAAUCCAACAUGCCUGCCUCGCUCAACCCUGUGCAGAACCGUUUCACAUGCAUAUAUGCACAUGUUGCCUGACCUGUUAGCAACACAAGCUAAGCGCCAUGGUGCUAGCCCCUGCAGUGCCCAAUGCAACUCUGCACAUCAGGGCAAGUGUGCCCGGCUUGCCUCUUCUCUCAUGGGUGAGGGUCAGGUAUCAUGCAGGCUGUCAAGUAAUGUGCAGCCAUGCUGACGGCAUUCAGUCUGCACCAUAUGUGAGUGAUGGGCUUUGGGAGUGCAAGCGGAAUCAGCCAUAACAGGUUGGUGUGUCAAGACCGGCGUGCCUCCUAUCUGCCUAGUUAGCGUGCCCCGGCCCCCGCAGGGGGCGCGGCGCACCUAUACGUUUCAGAAAGGGGGGGCCCCUGUCAAGUUGGUAAACACACGUUCCCGGCCCCCGCCGACUGCGCGCAGCCAUUAUUUAAGCCAUCCAUUACCCGAAGCUAUUGUACACAAGGUAGAAGAGGCCCCAGCGACAAAGUUCCGAUACCCGACUCGAGUCAGGGAACCUCGAUCGCGAAAGUAACUGAGGCUAAACCAUAUUUCGCGCACUCUAACGCAUAGAAUGGUGUCCGAUGCCUCAAGAAAGACGUUUCUUUGGCCGAUUCCAUCGCACAGGCUGGCGCUGGUCCAACAUAACUAUCAGAUACGUAGAUUGCUUCAAUCUCAGCACUUAUGUACCUGACAGGAGGCCCGUAGGCGUGUAAGCUGCGAGCGCGUGCACCUGUCCUUAUUAGUGCCGUGCUGGCUGCCCCACAACGUGAGACCUAUGAGGCUGAGACUCUGUUAUUAUUAUAUUUGCAAAACGUGUAAGGCUGAACGGUUUCGCCGCAAGGGCGAACUUGAACUUACUUCGCGACGCCCAACCGUCCGACGUCCGAUGCACAGCCCCGACCCCCCAGCACCGGCACCCAGAUCACACAUUUUACUUAUAGUGGAGUCUGUAUCUCACGGUGGGGGACGGUAUGUAUGACGGGUUUUGGUGCUGGGGGGGGGGGUUGGUUCGGCAGGGUGCGGGGCCGAGGUGCGGGCACGCGGGGGGAAGUCCGCGCGCGCCCUCGCAAUUUCACAGGGCGUUGGCCCGGCUAUUAUUUAAAUAAUUACGUAUGUAUUUAGAAGCUGCGUGGGCGAAAAUGAGCGAGUUUGCGUCCCUUGGAUCCCAUUUCCCCAGACUCCAAUUCCCCGAUGAGGUGCUGGGCCCCGACCCCGACCCCGACCCGGACCCCGACCCCGACCCCGACUCCUCUCGUGCUCGGCAUUUUAACACUGUACAUUGCGUCCCCUGUCACUUGACUCCCUUAGGGGCACGCUCCAUGGAUCGCAUGGCGGUCCGCUAGUGCAGGCCUGCGGUGGCACCAAGUUGACAACCACUUCACCCCAGCGAGCUCCAGCUUGCGCCAACCAUACAACGGCAGUUGCUAUAUGUAUACAAUUGAUAGCCAGGCCAAACGGCUGCGUGGCUGGACUGCUGCACUCACUCACGUGGCCCCUGGUAGCAGGGUGGCUAAAGGGGGGUUUAAGGGGUUUUGCAGGGUUUGAAAAGUUUGACAUGUCAGAAAUCAUUUGCACAGUAUAAGUCAGCUAAUAGUAACUAGAAUGAUUGUUUGAACCCCUUGUGGGUGACCGUGAUGAGAUUUGGGCACAUAGCAAUGACUUUGCAUGUCCCACUGCUUCCUCACCGUCUCCCUGGAUACGGCAUGUGACUUUCAUGGCCCUGGAUACUUGCACCACUGAGGCUUCUCAUUCGCCCAAGUUAUAAUGAAUACUGCAUUGUGCUAUGGUGCAGGCUGACAGAUUGCACAUGCACGCUGUGCAUGCACAUGCUGCUCAUUCCCCUUGUCCCCACACUGGGGGCUGAGCUGCCCAACCCAGAAUCCAACAUGCCUGCCUCGCUCAACCCUGUGCAGAACCGUUUCACAUGCAUAUAUGCACAUGUUGCCUGACCUGUUAGCAACACAAGCUAAGCGCCAUGGUGCUAGCCCCUGCAGUGCCCAAUGCAACUCUGCACAUCAGGGCAAGUGUGCCCGGCUUGCCUCUUCUCUCAUGGGUGAGGGUCAGGUAUCAUGCAGGCUGUCAAGUAAUGUGCAGCCAUGCUGACGGCAUUCAGUCUGCACCAUAUGUGAGUGAUGGGCUUUGGGAGUGCAAGCGGAAUCAGCCAUAACAGGUUGGUGUGUCAAGACCGGCGUGCCUCCUAUCUGCCUAGUUAGCGUGCCCCGGCCCCCGCAGGGGGCGCGGCGCACCUAUACGUUUCAGAAAGGGGGGGCCCCUGUCAAGUUGGUAAACACACGUUCCCGGCCCCCGCCGACUGCGCGCAGCCAUUAUUUAAGCCAUCCAUUACCCGAAGCUAUUGUACACAAGGUAGAAGAAGCCCCAGCGACAAAGUUCCGAUACCCGACUCGAGUCAGGGAACCUCGAUCGCGAAAGUAACUGAGGCUAAACCAUAUUUCGCGCACUCUAACGCAUAGAAUGGUGUCCGAUGCCUCAAGAAAGACGUUUCUUUGGCCGAUUCCAUCGCACAGGCUGGCGCUGGUCCAACAUAACUAUCAGAUACCUCCCCGGUAGCUCAAUUGGUAGAGCAUGCCGCUGUCACAUGGCAGACCCAGGUUCGAAUCGCGGAUUCGGCCGGGUUGAGGCUGACAAGUAUAGAUGCAGGUUCGGAUCCUGCCCGGGGAACCGAGUCAGUAUUCCGGUAUGGAGUCCGCGGUACUGACGGAAGCGUUGUAGAGACUCUCUGGGUUCGGAUCCCAUUGUUGCAACGUGGAAACUUCACGAUGGCCGAAUUCGGAGAGUUGGUAGGCCGAUAGGUCCAGAACUUCGGUUCCUAUGGACUGAGUGAAGGUGGAUGCGUGGGGUGCCUCUUGCCAAGGUCCCACAGAGAUACGGUAGGGUUAGCCUCGAUGGGACUCUUCCUUAAGGCACGCGGGACCUUGGUCCGUGCGUAGGUAUUAUUAUUAUUAUCAGAUACGUAGAUUGCUUCAAUCUCAGCACUUAUGUACCUGACAGGAGGCCCGUAGGCGUGUAAGCUGCGAGCGCGUGCACCUGUCCUUAUUAGUGCCGUGCUGGCUGCCCCACAACGUGAGACCUAUGAGGCUGAGACUCUGUUAUUAUUAUAUUUGCAAAACGUGUAAGGCUGAACGGUUUCGCCGCAAGGGCGAACUUGAACUUACUUCGCGACGCCCAACCGUCCGACGUCCGAUGCACAGCCCCGACCCCCCAGCACCGGCACCCAGAUCACACAUUUUACUUAUAGUGGAGUCUGUAUCUCACGGUGGGGGACGGUAUGUAUGACGGGUUUUGGUGCUGGGGGGGGGGGUUGGUUCGGCAGGGUGCGGGGCCGAGGUGCGGGCACGCGGGGGGAAGUCCGCGCGCGCCCUCGCAAUUUCACAGGGCGUUGGCCCGGCUAUUAUUUAAAUAAUUACGUAUGUAUUUAGAAGCUGCGUGGGCGAAAAUGAGCGAGUUUGCGUCCCUUGGAUCCCAUUUCCCCAGACUCCAAUUCCCCGAUGAGGUGCUGGGCCCCGACCCCGACCCCGACCCGGACCCCGACCCCGACCCCGACUCCUCUCGUGCUCGGCAUUUUAACACUGUACAUUGCGUCCCCUGUCACUUGACUCCCUUAGGGGCACGCUCCAUGGAUCGCAUGGCGGUCCGCUAGUGCAGGCCUGCGGUGGCACCAAGUUGACAACCACUUCACCCCAGCGAGCUCCAGCUUGCGCCAACCAUACAACGGCAGUUGCUAUAUGUAUACAAUUGAUAGCCAGGCCAAACGGCUGCGUGGCUGGACUGCUGCACUCACUCACGUGGCCCCUGGUAGCAGGGUGGCUAAAGGGGGGUUUAAGGGGUUUUGCAGGGUUUGAAAAGUUUGACAUGUCAGAAAUCAUUUGCACAGUAUAAGUCAGCUAAUAGUAACUAGAAUGAUUGUUUGAACCCCUUGUGGGUGACCGUGAUGAGAUUUGGGCACAUAGCAAUGACUUUGCAUGUCCCACUGCUUCCUCACCGUCUCCCUGGAUACGGCAUGUGACUUUCAUGGCCCUGGAUACUUGCACCACUGAGGCUUCUCAUUCGCCCAAGUUAUAAUGAAUACUGCAUUGUGCUAUGGUGCAGGCUGACAGAUUGCACAUGCACGCUGUGCAUGCACAUGCUGCUCAUUCCCCUUGUCCCCACACUGGGGGCUGAGCUGCCCAACCCAGAAUCCAACAUGCCUGCCUCGCUCAACCCUGUGCAGAACCGUUUCACAUGCAUAUAUGCACAUGUUGCCUGACCUGUUAGCAACACAAGCUAAGCGCCAUGGUGCUAGCCCCUGCAGUGCCCAAUGCAACUCUGCACAUCAGGGCAAGUGUGCCCGGCUUGCCUCUUCUCUCAUGGGUGAGGGUCAGGUAUCAUGCAGGCUGUCAAGUAAUGUGCAGCCAUGCUGACGGCAUUCAGUCUGCACCAUAUGUGAGUGAUGGGCUUUGGGAGUGCAAGCGGAAUCAGCCAUAACAGGUUGGUGUGUCAAGACCGGCGUGCCUCCUAUCUGCCUAGUUAGCGUGCCCCGGCCCCCGCAGGGGGCGCGGCGCACCUAUACGUUUCAGAAAGGGGGGGCCCCUGUCAAGUUGGUAAACACACGUUCCCGGCCCCCGCCGACUGCGCGCAGCCAUUAUUUAAGCCAUCCAUUACCCGAAGCUAUUGUACACAAGGUAGAAGAGGCCCCAGCGACAAAGUUCCGAUACCCGACUCGAGUCAGGGAACCUCGAUCGCGAAAGUAACUGAGGCUAAACCAUAUUUCGCGCACUCUAACGCAUAGAAUGGUGUCCGAUGCCUCAAGAAAGACGUUUCUUUGGCCGAUUCCAUCGCACAGGCUGGCGCUGGUCCAACAUAACUAUCAGAUAUACGUAGAUUGCUUCAAUCUCAGCACUUAUGUACCUGACAGGAGGCCCGUAGGCGUGUAAGCUGCGAGCGCGUGCACCUGUCCUUAUUAGUGCCGUGCUGGCUGCCCCACAACGUGAGACCUAUGAGGCUGAGACUCUGUUAUUAUUAUAUUUGCAAAACGUGUAAGGCUGAACGGUUUCGCCGCAAGGGCGAACUUGAACUUACUUCGCGACGCCCAACCGUCCGACGUCCGAUGCACAGCCCCGACCCCCCAGCACCGGCACCCAGAUCACACAUUUUACUUAUAGUGGAGUCUGUAUCUCACGGUGGGGGACGGUAUGUAUGACGGGUUUUGGUGCUGGGGGGGGGGUUGGUUCGGCAGGGUGCGGGGCCGAGGUGCGGGCACGCGGGGGGAAGUCCGCGCGCGCCCUCGCAAUUUCACAGGGCGUUGGCCCGGCUAUUAUUUAAAUAAUUACGUAUGUAUUUAGAAGCUGCGUGGGCGAAAAUGAGCGAGUUUGCGUCCCUUGGAUCCCAUUUCCCCAGACUCCAAUUCCCCGAUGAGGUGCUGGGCCCCGACCCCGACCCCGACCCGGACCCCGACCCCGACCCCGACUCCUCUCGUGCUCGGCAUUUUAACACUGUACAUUGCGUCCCCUGUCACUUGACUCCCUUAGGGGCACGCUCCAUGGAUCGCAUGGCGGUCCGCUAGUGCAGGCCUGCGGUGGCACCAAGUUGACAACCACUUCACCCCAGCGAGCUCCAGCUUGCGCCAACCAUACAACGGCAGUUGCUAUAUGUAUACAAUUGAUAGCCAGGCCAAACGGCUGCGUGGCUGGACUGCUGCACUCACUCACGUGGCCCCUGGUAGCAGGGUGGCUAAAGGGGGGUUUAAGGGGUUUUGCAGGGUUUGAAAAGUUUGACAUGUCAGAAAUCAUUUGCACAGUAUAAGUCAGCUAAUAGUAACUAGAAUGAUUGUUUGAACCCCUUGUGGGUGACCGUGAUGAGAUUUGGGCACAUAGCAAUGACUUUGCAUGUCCCACUGCUUCCUCACCGUCUCCCUGGAUACGGCAUGUGACUUUCAUGGCCCUGGAUACUUGCACCACUGAGGCUUCUCAUUCGCCCAAGUUAUAAUGAAUACUGCAUUGUGCUAUCUCUCUGGGUUCGGAUCCCAUUGUUGCAACGUGGAAACUUCACGAUGGCCGAAUUCGGAGAGUUGGUAGGCCGAUAGGUCCAGAACUUCGGUUCCUAUGGACUGAGUGAAGGUGGAUGCGUGGGGUGCCUCUUGCCAAGGUCCCACAGAGAUACGGUAGGGUUAGCCUCGAUGGGACUCUUCCUUAAGGCACGCGGGACCUUGGUCCGUGCGUAGG
rnacentral:lncRNA from 1 species